AAAUUUGUAACUAAUAUUUUGGCAUUUGAUUUGAAAUCAAAUUGAUUGUUUUUGUUAACAAUACAAAUUUU
rnacentral:tRNA from 1 species